CCUACGGGAGGCAGCAGUAGGGAAUCUUCCACAAUGGGCGCAAGCCUGAUGGAGCAACACCGCGUGAGUGAAGAAGGGUUUCGGCUCGUAAAGCUCUGUUGUUGGAGAAGAACGUGCGUGAGAGUAACUGUUCACGCAGUGACGGUAUCCAACCAGAAAGUCACGGCUAACUACGUGCCAGCAGCCGCGGUAAUACGUAGGUGGCAAGCGUUAUCCGGAUUUAUUGGGCGUAAAGCGAGCGCAGGCGGUUGCUUAGGUCUGAUGUGAAAGCCUUCGGCUUAACCGAAGAAGUGCAUCGGAAACCGGGCAACUUGAGGGCAGAAGAAGACAGUGGAACUCCAUGUGUAGCGGUGGAAUGCGUAGAUAUAUGGAAGAACACCAGUGGCGAAGGCGGCUGUCUGGUCUGCAACUGACGCUGAGGCUCGAAAGCAUGGGUAGCGAACAGGAUUAGAUACCCUGGUAGUC
rnacentral:rRNA from 1 species